rnacentral:misc_RNA from 1 species
UCUCCGUUGGUGAACCAGCGGGGGGAUCAUUACCGAGUUUUCAACUCCCAAAACCAAUGUGAACCAUACCAAACUGUUGCCUCGGCGGGGUCACGCCCCGGGUGAGUCGCAGCCCCGGAACCAGGCGCCCGCCGGAGGGACCAACCAAACUCUUUCUGUAGUCACCUCGCGGACGUUAUUUUUACAGCUCUGAGCAAAAAUUCAAAAUGUAACAAAACUUUCAACAACGGAUCUCUUGGUUCUG